ACGAACGCUGGCGGCGUGCUUCACCCAUGCCAGUCGUACGGUAAGGCCCUUUCGGGGGUACACGAGUGGCGAACGGGUGAGUAACACGUGAGUAACCUGCCCACAACUUUGGGAUAACGCUAGGAAACUGGUGCUAAUACUGGAUAUGUGCUCCUGCUGCAUGGUGGGGGUUGGAAAGCUCCGGCGGUUGUGGAUGGACUCGCGGCCUAUCAGCUUGUUGGUGGGGUAGUGGCCUACCAAGGCGGCGACGGGUAGCCGGCCUGAGAGGGUGACCGGCCACAUUGGGACUGAGAUACGGCCCAGACUCCUACGGGAGGCAGCAGUGGGGAAUAUUGCACAAUGGGCGCAAGCCUGAUGCAGCAACGCCGCGUGCGGGAUGACGGCCUUCGGGUUGUAAACCGCUUUCAGCAGGGACGAAGCUUUUUGUGACGGUACCUGCAGAAGAAGCACCGGCUAACUACGUG
rnacentral:rRNA from 1 species